AUUGAACGCUGGCGGCAGGCCUAACACAUGCAAGUCGAACGAGUGGCGGACGGGUGAGUAAUGUCUGGGAAACUGCCCGAUGGAUGGGGCUAACUACUGGAACCGGUAUCUAAUACCGCAUACCAUCGGAUGUGCCCAGAUGGGAUGAGCUAGUAGGUGGGGUAACGGCUCACCUAGGCGACGCUCCCUAGCUGGUCUGAGAGGAGGACCAGCCACACUGGAACUGAGACACGGUCCAGACUCCUACGGGAGGCAGCAGUGGGGAAUAUUGCACAAUGGGCGAAAGCCUGAUGCAGCCAUGCCGCGUGUAUGAAGAAGGCCUUCGGGUUGUAAAGUACUUUCAGCGGGGAGGCGUUACCCGCAGAAGAAGCACAGGCUAACUCCGUGCCAGCCGCCGCGGUAAUUC
rnacentral:rRNA from 1 species